rnacentral:rRNA from 1 species
CUACGGGGUGCUGCAGGCGCGAAACCUUUACAAUGUACGGAAGUGCGAUAAGGGAACUCCCAGUGCUUAUGUUCUGCAUAGGCUUUUGCCAUGUGUAAAAAGCAUGGCGAAUAAGUGGUGGGUAAGACGGGUGCCAGCCGCCGCGGUAACACCUGCGCCACGAGUGGCAAUCAUAAUUAUUGGGCCUAAAGCGUUCGUAGCCGGACAUGUAAGUCUUAAGUGAAAUCGUUGCGCUUAACAAAACGACGUGCUUGAGAAACUACUUGUCUUGGGACCGGGAGGCGUUAGAGGUAUUUCUGAGGGAGCGGUAAAAUGCUAUAAUCUCAGGAGGACCACCUGUGGCGAAGGCGUCUAACGAGAACGGAUCCGACGGUGAGGAACGAAAGCUAGGGGAGCAAACCGGAUUAGAUACCCUUGUAGUC